CGGCAGCACGGACUUCGGUCUGGUGGCGAGUGGCGAACGGGUGAGUAAUGCGCCGGAACGUAUCCAGUAGAGGGGGAUAACGCAGCGAAAGCUGUGCUAAUACCGCAUACGCCCUGAGGGGGAAAGCAUGGGAUCUUCGGACCAUGCGUUAUUGGAGCGGCCGACGUCUGAUUAGCUAGUAGGUGAGGUAAAGGCUCACCUAGGCGAUGAUCAGUAGCUGGUCUGAGAGGAUGAUCAGCCACACUGGAACUGAGAGACGGUCCAGACUCCUACGGGAGGCAGCAGUGGGGAAUUUUGGACAAUGGGCGCAAGCCUGAUCCAGCCAUUCCGCGUGAGUGAAGAAGGCCUUCGGGUUGUAAAGCUCUUUCGGCAGGGAAGAAAAGGUUCUGGUUAAUAACUGGAACUGCUGACGGUACCUGAAGAAGAAGCACCGGCUAACUACGUGCCAGCAGCCGCGGUAAUACGUAGGGUGCGAGCGUUAAUCGGAAUUACUGGGCGUAAAGGGUGCGCAGGCGGCUCUGUAAGUCUGACGUGAAAUCCCCGGGCUUAACCUGGGAACUGCGUUGGAAACUGUAGAGCUAGAGUGUAGCAGAGGGGGGUAGAAUUCCACGUGUAGCAGUGAAAUGCGUAGAGAUGUGGAGGAAUACCGAUGGCGAAGGCAGCCCCCUGGGUUAACACUGACGCUCAGGCACGAAAGCGUGGGUAGCAAACAGGAUUAGAUACCCUGGUAGUCCACGCCCUAAACGAUGUCAACUAGUUGUUGGGGAGGGAGACCUCCUUGGUAACGCAGCUAACGCGUGAAGUUGACCGCCUGGGGAGUACGGUCGCAAGAUUAAAACUCAAAGGAAUUGACGGGGGCCCGCACAAGCGGUGGAUUAUGUGGAUUAAUUCGAUGCAACGCGAAAAACCUUACCUACCCUUGACAUGUACGGAAGACUGCAGAGAUGUGG
rnacentral:rRNA from 1 species